rnacentral:rRNA from 1 species
AUACGGAGGGUGCAAGCGUUACUCGGAAUCACUGGGCGUAAAGCGCGCGCAGGCGGGCUGAUAAGUUGGAUGUGAAAGCCUACGGCUCAACCGUAGAACUGCAUCCAAAACUGUCAGUCUAGAGUGUGGGAGAGGAAGAUGGAAUUAGUUGUGUAGGGGUAAAAUCCGUAGAGAUAACUAGGAAUACCAAAAGCGAAGGCAAUCUUCUGGAACACUACUGACGCUGAGGCGCGAAGGCGUGGGGAGCAAACAGGAGUAGAUACCCCGGUAGUCC